rnacentral:sRNA from 1 species
GCUGAGUGCUGCAGUGUGUACUUGUAGUCCCAGCUACUUGGGAGGCUGAGAUGGGAGGAUCACUUGAGCUUAGGAGUUGGACAAGCCUGGGCAAUAUUAUGAGACCCAAUCUCAC